UAGCGGCAGGCCUAACACAUGCAAGGUCGAGGGGCAGCACGUCUUCGGAUGGUGGCGACCGGCGCGACGGGUGCGUAACGCGUAUGCAACCUACCUCUUACAGUGGAAUAGCCCAGAGAAUUUGGAUUAAUACUCCAUAGUAUUACAGAUUCGCAUGUUUUUGUAAUUAAAGUUUUAAUGGUUGAGGAUGGGCAUGCGUGACAUUAGUUUGUUGGUGAGGUAAUGGCUCACCAAGACUACGAUGUCUAGGGGUUCUGAGAGGAUGAUCCCCCACACUGGUACUGAGACACGGACCAGACUCCUACGGGAGGCAGCAGUGAGGAAUAUUGGACAAUGGAGGCAACUCUGAUCCAGCCAUCCCGCGUGCAGGAAGACAGCCCUAUGGGUCGUAAACUGCUUUUAUACAGGAAUAAACCCCUCUACGUGUAGAGGGCUGAAGGUACUGUAAGAAUAAGGACCGGCUAACUCCGUG
rnacentral:rRNA from 1 species